rnacentral:tRNA from 1 species
AGCGGAGUAGAGCAGUUUGGUAGCUCACGAGGCUCAUAACCUUGAGGUCACGGGU